rnacentral:rRNA from 1 species
AAUAUUGGACAAUGGGCGAAAGCCUGAUCCAGCCAUGCCGCGUGUGUGAAGAAGGUCUUCGGAUUGUAAAGCACUUUAAGUCGGGAGGAUGGGUUGUAGGUUAAUACCCUGCAAUUUUGACGUUACCAAAAGAAUAAUCACCGGCUAACUUGGCGCCUGCAGCCGCGGUAAUACGAAGGGUGCAAGCGUUAAUCGGAAUUACUGGGCGUAAAGCGGGCGUAGGUGGUUCGUUAAGUUGGAAGUGAAAGCCCCGGGCUUAACCUGGGAAUUGCUUUCAAAACUGACGAGCUAGAGUACGGUAGAGGGUAGUGGAAUUUCCUGUGUAGCGGUGAAAUGCGUAGAUAUAGGAAGGAACAUCAGUGGCGAAGGCGACUACCUGGACUGAUACUGACACUGGGGUGCGAAAGCGUGGGGAGCAAACAGG